GACGAACGCUGGCGGCGUGCUUAACACAUGCAAGUCGAACGGAAAGGCCCUGCUUUUGUGGGGUGCUCGAGUGGCGAACGGGUGAGUAACACGUGUGUAACCUGCCCUUGACUUUGGGAUAACUUCAGGAAACUGGGGCUAAUACCGGAUAGGAGCUCCUGCUGCAUGGGGGGGGUUGGAAAAUUUCGGCGGUUGGGGCUGGAGUGGCGGGUUAUCCGCUUGUUGGUGGGGUAGUGGCUGACCAAGGCUUUGACGGGUAGCCGGCCUGAGAGGGUGACCGGCGACAUUGGGACUGAGAUACGGCCCAGACGCCUACGGGCGGCAGCAGUGGGGAAUAUUGCACAAUGGGCGGAAGCCUGAUGCAGCAACGCCGCGUGCGGGAUGACGGCCUUCGGGUUGUAAACCGCUUUCGCCGGUGACGAAGCGUGAGUGACGGUAAUGGGUAAAGAAGCACCGGCUAACUACGUG
rnacentral:rRNA from 1 species